UACGUAGGGGGCUAGCGUUGUUCGGAAUUACUGGGCGUAAAGCGCACGUAGGCGGUCUGUUAAGUCUGGGGUGAAAUCCUGGAGCUCAACUCCAGAACUGCCUUUGAUACUGGCAACCUAGAGACUGGAAGAGGUUAGUGGAAUUCCCAGUGUAGAGGUGAAAUUCGUAGAUAUUAGGAAGAACACCAGUGGCGAAGGCGGCUCACUGGUCCGGUACUGACGCUGAGGUGCGAAAGCGUGGGGAGCAAACAGG
rnacentral:rRNA from 1 species